CUGCCUAUGGGGCGCAGCAGUGGGGAAUAUUGCGCAAUGGGCGAAAGCCUGACGCAGCGACGCCGCGUGAGGGAUGGAGGUCUUCGGAUCGUAAACCUCUGUCAGCAGGGAAGAACGGUUACUGUGCUAAUCAGCAGUGAAUUGACGGUACCUGCAAAGGAAGCACCGGCUAACUCCGUGCCAGCAGCCGCGGUAAUACGGAGGUGGCGAGCGUUAUCCGGAAUGAUUGGGCGUAAAGGGGGCGCAGGCGGUCCUGCAAGUCUGGAGUGAAACGCAUGAGCUCAACUCAUGCAUGGCUUUGGAAA
rnacentral:rRNA from 1 species